GACGAACGCUGGCGGCGUGCCUAAUACAUGCAAGUAGAACGCACAGUUUAUACCGUAGCUUGCUACACCAUAGACUGUGAGUUGCGAACGGGUGAGUAACGCGUAGGUAACCUGCCUGGCAGCGGGGGAUGACUAUUGGAAACGAUAGCUAAUACCGCAUAAUAUUAAUUAUUGCAUGAUAAUUAAUUGAAAGGUGCAAUUGCACCACUACCAGAUGGACCUGCGUUGUAUUAGCUAGUAGGUGAGGUAACGGCUCACCUAGGCGACGAUACAUAGCCGACCUGAGAGGGUGAUCGGCCACACUGGGAGUGAGACACGGCCCAGACUCCUACGGGAGGCAGCAGUAGGGAAUCUUCGGCAAUGGACGAAAGUCUGACCGAGCAACGCCGAGUGAGUGAAGAAGGUUUUCGGAUCGUAAAGCUCGGUUGUAAGAGAAGAACGGGUGUGAGAGUGGAAAGUUCACACUGUGACGGUAACUUACCAGAAAGGGACGGCUAACUACGUG
rnacentral:rRNA from 1 species